GUUGCUGAGUUCUUUUAAUAGAAAUGGGAGCAUCAAAAGGUUAGACAGAAAUGAAGAUUUUGAGGUCUCUCUCUAUAUAAGAUGUCCUAAUGUCGCCUUUUUUUCCCCAUUACAGACUACUGAAAUAUGUUGGCAGUAUGUUGGUGAUCCAGUCUUUGUUGGCUCUGCUCAAGAUGAAGCAGCAGAAUCCAUUCUUUCAGCACUGAUCCAGAAGUGAGAAUGCCCUGCAGA